AAAAUACUCCCUCCGUCCCAAAAUUCUUGUCUUUAGAUUUGUCUAGAUACCGAUAUAUCUAAUACUAAAAUGUGAGCUGAUACAUCCGUAUUUAGACAAAUCUAAGACAAAAAAUUUGGGACGGAGGGAGUAUAUU
rfam:Triticum aestivum genome assembly, contig: Triticum_aestivum_CS42_TGACv1_scaffold_513126_6BS